GCCGCGGUGGCGGAAUUGGUAGACGCGCACGACUCAAAAUCGUGUGGAGAAAUUCAUGAGAGUUCGAUUCUCUCCCGCGGCA
rnacentral:tRNA from 1 species